rnacentral:rRNA from 1 species
AUUGAACGCUGGCGGCAUGCCUUACACAUGCAAGUCGAACGGCAGCACGGGUGCUUGCACCUGGUGGCGAGUGGCGAACGGGUGAGUAAUACAUCGGAACAUGUCCUGUAGUGGGGGAUAGCCCGGCGAAAGCCGGAUUAAUACCGCAUACGAUCUACGGAUGAAAGCGGGGGACCUUCGGGCCUCGCGCUAUAGGGUUGGGCGAUGGCUGAUUAGCUAGUUGGUGGGGGAAAGGCCUACCAAGGCGACGAUCAGUACCUGGUCUGAGAGGACGACCAGCCACACUGGGACUGAGACACGGCCCAGACUCCUACGGGAGGCAGCAGUGGGGAAUUUUGGACAAUGGGCGAAAGCCUGAUCCAGCAAUGCCGCGUGUGUGAAGAAGGCCUUCGGGUUGUAAAGCACUUUUGUCCGGAAAGAAAUCCUUGGCCCUAAUACGGUCGGGGGAUGACGGUACCGGAAGAAUAAGCACCGGCUAACUACGUG